rnacentral:lncRNA from 1 species
GUAAGACACACUGACACUGUUGAACAAUCACAGAGUUAGGAGAAGAACCGAAUACCAAUAAGGUUCGGGGGUUACCUCUCUAACGAAGAUUCCCUAACCCGCCCAAUCCUCACUAUGUGCGUUCAUAGAAAUGAAAGUGUGGGUUGGCCUCUAGCCAGUGAUAUAUUCUCCAGGAGGGGGUGGGGCUUUACAGGGGUACUGGUCAGUCUGAGCUGUCUGAUUGUGGGAGCCAUAUUCCUAAUACACCAUGAACCACUCGAGAAGUCAGAAAGUGGUAACUUGACCCAUAGUGUAGAAGAUGAGGAGUUUUUAUGGCCUAGGUACAAAAGGUCACUCGAUCUGGAUAAAAAGGAAGUGAGAGUAGAGUUAGGGAAGGAUGUCUCAAUAGAGUUCUAUGCAGACCAAAUGGGGUCCCUAACCUCCUGGCAGUCUAGGACUCGGACUUCAUGGGGAAGAUAUCUGUGUAGAUCCCGGUGUAACUCAUGGAAUCAGGUCAUAGCUCACACAGAGAGAGAAGGCUAUGUCAAUCCACACACCCAAUAUAGAAACAGAUGGAGUAUAGUGAAGGCCAGGGUUUUUGACUGCAAUCCAGAGCAAGGGAAGUAUUGCUUGAAGAUAGGAAUGACCAUUAAAAGCAUAAAGAAAGAGGAUUUAGGGUUAUGGUAUGUUGGCCUUGACCAGACCAUUGUCGACACUGCGGUAACAUUCCGAGUAGUAGAGGUUAGGACAGGAGAUAGUUAUACCGCCAGCCAGAAUACCAGUAGUACCCCUGAUAAAACGGACAUUACCCGUGUAGUCAUCCAGAGCCAAGGACCGGUGAGGAUAGUUCAGACGAAAGAUCUUAAGGAAGUGAUUGAGGUGGAGACUUGGUUUGGGGAUUCCAACCUAUGGCUGGAAUGGAUUCAGUAUACAGCUAGAUCAGUAGCUAAAGAAGAAGGUUAUGCCUGCACAACCGCCAAACUUCAGUUGACAACCAUCCCCUUUCUUCUCGAUGGAAUUAAUUUACCAAGGGGAAUGGCCUGUAUGGUAAAGCUGUUCAUGAAGGCAAGGAAGCCAGACAGUUGCACUGAUCUGCAUUAUCUGUAUCCUAUGUGCCCAUUAGAUCCAGACUUCCCCCUUUCACAGUCGCAGGAGGAGACUAUUAUUGUGUGGCUCGACACAACACACACGGAUGGAACGUAGGGGAAGUAAGAACAUGCACUAGGACAGAGAAUGUUACAACUGACAAGACAAUGAGGGACCUGACUGGGUGGUUGAGUUCCGAGGACUUUAGUAAGAUAAAAAGGCAGAGAGCGGAUGUCUGGUG